CCCAUAGUCAAACUAUAAAAUUACUAAAAUGCCAUUGGUCAAGCUAUUAAAUAACUAAAACACCCCUAACAAUGCACUGUAUUGUUCACUCGAUGUGUGAGCCUAGCGCACCGCCAUUAUGUAUGGUCCAGUAACGAUCCUGAGAGGAUGGUGGCUUGUUGAGCAACUCUCCAGGUAGAUCUCGAUCUCGUUCAUCCACUAAUUGUAGCAGUGUAUCUCACAAUUAACUAGGGAGGGAGAUCAACGAUAAAGAAGGCUCGAGUGAACUGAACGAUUCUCUUCCCUUUUCUAGCCUUUAACAAUGGUGUUGAUGAUGAGGACUAGUCGAGUUUUGAUCGGGGGAGGCUGACUCUCCUUUCUAUGGUGGUUUCAAGGCGUUUGAUGGUUGGACAUCGGAGAUAUGGUGGCUAGAAUCACCGUCAGCGGCUGAUGGUGUUGGGCUUCAGUGUUGACAAGGGUAAUCAUAUAUAUAUAUAUAUAUAAGGGGGUGGGUAAAGUUAAAAUCAGUAUAAAAAGGUUGUUUUCACCGCUAAAAAAAAAAAAAAAAAAAAAACGACCGCCAAAAAUUUCCUUUCUAGACUAUGGUUAAAAUCGCUUUAGCCAUGAAAUGAUGAAUUUGCCUCCGGUAAAUAAUUUUUUAAUGUGCUGCCACUUGAAGAGCCUGCUGCUUUCCUGAAUUCUAAUGAUGUAUCAAAGUUGAUUAAUAGUUGUUCUAAACCCAUAUUCCAGGCACAAAACAUUUGCUGAAUUUGGUCUCCUUUCUUGGCAGAAGCUUCUGCAAAUAUGCAUAAAAUGCAAAUAGUAAGAGGAAAUGGAGGGAGCCCUGCAAAAAGUUUUGAUUGCAUGUAUAUAUGUUUGUAGUUAGCUUAAAAUCAAGCAGUCAAUGAACCCUGCAAGUGUUGC
rnacentral:lncRNA from 1 species